rnacentral:rRNA from 1 species
UACGUAGGUGGCAAGCGUUGUCCGGAGUUACUGGGCGUAAAGGGUGCGUAGGCGGCUUUUUAAGUUUGGUGUGAAAUCUCCCGGCUCAACUGGGAGGGUGCGCCGAAUACUGAGAGGCUAGAGUGUGGGAGAGGAAAGUGGAAUUCCUGGUGUAGCGGUGAAAUGCGCAGAUAUCAGGAAGAACACCCGUGGCUAAGGCGGCUCUCUAGUACGGUACUGACGCUGAGACGCGAAAGCGUGGGUAGCAAACAGG